UACGUAGGUGGCAAGCGUUAUCCGGAUUUAUUGGGCGUAAAGGGAACGCAGGCGGUCUUUUAAGUCUGAUGUGAAAGCCUUCGGCUUAACCGGAGUAGUGCAUUGGAAACUGGGAGACUUGAGUGCAGAAGAGGAGAGUGGAACUCCAUGUGUAGCGGUGAAAUGCGUAGAUAUAUGGAAGAACACCAGUGGCGAAAGCGGCUCUCUGGUCUGUAACUGACGCUGAGGUUCGAAAGCGUGGGUAUCGAACAGG
rnacentral:rRNA from 1 species